rnacentral:tRNA from 1 species
AAGAUUUUAAGUUAAAUUAAACUAAAAGCCUUCAAAGCUUUAAAUAAAAUUUCAUUAAAUAUUUUAAAUCUUA